rnacentral:rRNA from 1 species
UACGAAGGGGGCUAGCGUUGCUCGGAAUCACUGGGCGUAAAGGGUGCGUAGGCGGCGCGGUAAGUCGGGUGUGAGAUCUUGGAGCUUAACUCCGAAACUGCAUUCGAUACUGCCGUGCUUGAGGACUGGAGAGGAGACUGGAAUUUACGGUGUAGCGGUGAAAUGCGUAGAUAUCGUAAGGAAGACCAGUGGCGAAGGCGGGUCUCUGGACAGUUCCUGACGCUGAGGCACGAAGGCCAGGGGAGCAAACGGG